rnacentral:rRNA from 1 species
CCUACGGGAGGCAGCAGUAAGGAAUAUUGGACAAUGGGGGCAACCCUGAUCCAGCCAUGCCGCGUGAAGGAUUAAGGCCCUAUGGGUUGUAAACUUCUUUUAUAAGGGAAAAAACCUCUCUACGUGUAGAGAGUUGAUGGUACUUUAUGAAUAAGGGUCGGCUAACUUCGUGCCAGCAGCCGCGGUAAUACGAAGGACCCAAGCGUUAUCCGGAUUUACUGGGUUUAAAGGGUGCGUAGGUGGACUUGUAAGUCAGUGGUGAAAUCCCCAAGCUCAACUUGGGAACUGCCAUUGAUACUGCUAGUCUUGAGUAUAGUUGAGGUAGGCGGAAUAUGUCAUGUAGUGGUGAAAUACUUAGAUAUGACAUAGAACACCGAUUGCGAAGGCAGCUUGCUAAGCUAUAACUGACACUGAUGCACGAAAGCGUGGGGAGCAAACAGGAUUAGAUACCCUGGUAGUCCACGCCCUAAACGAUGAUAACUCGAUGUUGGCGAUACACUGUCAGCGUCCAAGCGAAAGCAUUAAGUUAUCCACCUGGGGAGUACGACCGCAAGGUUGAAACUUAAAGGAAUUGACGG